rnacentral:tRNA from 1 species
GGGGCUGUAACUCAGUGGUAGAGUGCUCGCUUCGCAUGCGAGAAGCCUAGGGUUCGAUCCCCUACUGCUCCA